rnacentral:tRNA from 1 species
CGGGCCGUGGCGCAGUUUGGUAGCGCACUACACUGGGGGUGUAGGGGUCGCUGGUUCAAAUCCAGUCGGCCCGACCA